UAAUUAAGAGAUGAAUUAGAUGGAACU
rnacentral:piRNA from 1 species